CGCCCACCCCGGAUCGCGAUCUCCGCCGUAUCUCUCUCCCAUCGCUCCCCUCUAUAUCCCAUCUCAGCCACCGAGCACUCCCUUCACUAUCGUCGGCGCAGCGCCCUCGAUCUCCACCAGCGCGCCAAUGUCCGCGCCGCCGCAACACCCAAGCCAGCGACGCCACCGAUCCGCGCCGCCGGAACACCCGCGCCUCUCGCUCUCGUCUGUGCCGCUCCCCCCACCCCCUGCGCCCGCCGUAAACCCCUAAUCCUCCGCGCUCCCCUCGCCCUCCUCACGAUCUCCUCCGCGCCACCUCCAUUCUCCUGCCAGUAGCCAGCCUCAAGGCCCUGCGCUACCCAGCCGCCCGUCGUUGCCGCUCCUGCUACGUGGAUCUGGCGGCGGGAUUUGCAACGGGGACGGCGUCGCGCCCUGCUCGUGCUGGCACAGAGGUUGGGGAGAAUAGGAUGUAAAGGUUCCUUGGCUUUGGUGAGUUAUUCACCGUGAUGCAGCUCUGUCCCUGGUGCAAAUGGGAAUGGGAUCGCUCAGGGCAGUCUAAAUCAUGGAGGUUGUUUUGCCUGCAGGUUUCUUUCUUGCGUUAGAUUGGUGGGACCCUCUCCAACGUGUACAGGAAGCUCCUUCCUCUUCUUGGUUUAUCCUCGAUUGGAUUAAAAAUCUUAGAAGAAAUGUUAAUUUUCAGUAUUUAAUUAGGAGCUGUUUUAUCUGGGGAUCAUAUCUUCAUAUGGCCAGCGAUCAUUUGUUUUGAUGGUUUGACUUUGUUUCUGCUACUCAAAAUUACAUGUUUGUCGUCAUCGGGUUUGCCUGUAUAUAUACGAUUAGCUGUGCUUCUAAUUCCAGCCCCCAACGCUACAAGAGUAGUAUCAGUGGAAGUGUUUCCACCUCCAUAUAUAGUUUCUUAUCAGUAGAAUUACCGAAUUACAUCAGAUAUUAUAUAUAUUUUUAUGCGCCAUAUUGGAAAUCUUGUUUCAUGGCUAAUAUUAGCAUUCUUAUUUUUCAGAUCCGAUAAAUUUCAGGUUGCAAUUUACAAGGAUCUCUUUUGGCAGGACUACCAAGUUGCCUGGAAUCUGGGGGGAAAAGUCAACAUUUAUGCACAACAUCGGCAGCAGUGAUCUGCCGUGCAUGACCACACCGAUCGGAUACCUCCUAUGCCUAUAUCCUGUUAUUUCCAGUUGACGUCCGUAGUUCCUCCUCAUCAUUGAAGGUAAAAGAAUUAGCAAUAUAUUAAACAGUUUCUUUUUUUCCUGAAUCAUAAAUCUAUCUCAUUUUAUGUCGGUUGUUAAAACAUAUAUUUUUUAUUUGAUUUGUAUUAUUAUAUAUGGUUUCAUGGGGAGAUAUGGCCAUUCUUUGUUUAUGAGUUUGCCAAUUGAUUAGAGCUAAUUCAUUUGGUGCCAAUCGUCUACUGAAUUUUUUUAGCAGUAUAUGGAUUUUGGGGAAGAAAUAAGGUCGACUGACCACUGCUUUUCUGUUUAUUUUAAUCAAGCUUUCGCUGUUCAUAACUGCACUAAUUUAAUGAGAUUUCAAGUUGGAUUUUUUAAGCACUAAGCACUAAUGGAAUAAAUUUGUACUUUCGGCUCUGUACAAUGUUUAUCUAUCCUGUGAAAUUAAUGUAUGUGAAAUUAAUGUAUGAAGUAUAUUUGUGAUAUAGUCAAAUUGACAAGGAAAAUCAUUUAAUUUUGCUUGGGUAGUCUGGUAUGUUGUACAAUAUUGUGCAUAAUUUUUUUUAAUGAAUACUUGCAUAAAACAGAUGUUGUUAUUUCAGAUUCAGCAUAUGGUAUAUAUUACAGAAUAUGUAUAUAGCUAAGUUAAAAUUUCAGAAUGUAAAUGUGCAUACAUGGAAGCACAUGAUAAGACAGUUUAAGUUAUAAGUUACCAUGGCUACGAUUCUGAAAGUCUAAACCUUUGGAUUCAUCGACAAAUGUAACUCUGAAAGUCUGAACUUUGGUUUUAAAGUCUAAAAGUGUGAAAUUACGAACAUGCACUAGCUUAUAUCGAUCGACCGAUUGAGGCAUGGCCCAUGCUGACCAACGGUGUUGCCGCGGCCGCCAUCUUCACCGUCACCGACAUCUCUUAGGUGAGGUUCCGCCAUCUUCACCAUCACUGACAAACUGAUCAGUUAAUAAAUUGUUGUCUUCUCCAACAAAUACAUGAUACAUCUACUAUUCUGUACUUUCGCAUAGUUACUCUGAUUCUCCAAUUGGUUUCGAUUGAGUUUCUAUCAGUUUUUUCUCUCUCUGUCAAAACUACAAGGGAAGGCCAUAUAUGCCAUGAGACUGAUUGCACUGCAGAACACGUUCCUUCGUGCCCGGUAGUGCAAUUUUAUUUCUCUAUUGCUACGUGUGGUGAAUGAAAAUUAUGGUGGAAUAUUCUGUUUUUAGAUCAAUGGAAGCUAUAUGUAGAGGUAAAAUGUGUAAUAAUUGCAGCCUGUUUUGUUGUAAUAAUUUGGGAGAUGAAUUAAGAACUGAAUUUCCAAAUUUGAUUGCAUGAUGUAUCCAAUUUAGGAAAUGAAUUGAGUUAUAAAUCCUUUGCUUUUA